AACGAUCCAAAAACGGGGGUGACGAUCCCCGGACAGGGGGUAACGAUUGUUUCGGGCCCGCACGGCCUGGCACGCCCAGGACGCAAGCCAAGUGGUGCUGGGGUCACCUCUUAGCUACUUGUCAUGCAUACGCACAUUGCGGACUGGGCGGAGUGCCUUUCGUCACCGACAAGUGAACAUGCCGACAUUCUAGUCUGCAAACGCUUAUUGUAGUGACAGUUUGUGUUAAAACAGUCUAAUAUGUGAAGCCCUAAACUUAUGUAGUCUUUGCGCUCGCGAACGAGGAAGUCUGGGGGCUGUAGGCCGACUGUGUGACAUUGUGACAGGGACCCUUGGGCGUGGUAACGACCCUAAGCCAGGGGUAAUGGGGCCUUCGCGAGGGGUAACAGGGUUCCUGCAUGGGGUUCUCGCGGGCCUGACUUAACAAGCAGCAUAGAGCGGCCCCUGAUACUACUACACAUAUACUGAUAUAGUACCAUACAUAUACUGAUACACUGCACUUCAUGCCGGUGCCGCUGCACUUCUGUUCCUCUCCCCCACUUUGCUCUCUCGCGCUUGCUAUUUCUCUUCGUAACACAAAUUUAUGCUAGCUCAAAUGUCAGUAGAACAAGAGCUGGCGGCAGACGCUGCUUGGCUGGCUUGGGACGUGAGUCCUCACGCUGCUGACUGCUCGUUGACCGGCUUGGCAACGCUGCUCACACGUCAGCUGCAGCCAGCUAUUACGUGAGAGAAACGACUAUGCCUCAUAAUCUAUCAGCUGCGCUUCAAAUGUCCAACCGAGAAGUCUCGGUCGCCGGCGUCAACAACGCCAUUCAACAUCGCGUUCUGUCAACAUCACCCUCGCCCCGCACGCCAUAGUCCGUAGGUUAGUCCGCAGGUUAGUCCGCAGGUUGAAUGACGAUGGGAUGCGUUGAACCUAGUGGUACCUCGCAAGCCAGUGUGCAUGGUUCAUCUUCUCGCGCUGUGUUGGGUUGUCUGGUGGAGCCCCCGCCUACAACUAGCGACUGUCUGCUGCCUCCCUUACCAGCGCUCGCUGUAAGGUGUUUUUAUGGCUCCCUUGCCACGGUGCCUUGUGUCUCACAUACCACCCUGCCCCCCUCCGCACGCACACACCCUGCCCCGCGACAGCUUGCUGCCCAACCCCUGUUGUACCCUAUGGACCGUACGGUUGGCUGGACUGCCCCUACACCUCCAGCAUUGUGCUCAUCAACGGUGAGUGUCCGUGACAUGUGUGGGCGCACACACAUGCACAUGUGCACACAGACACGCCUUGUGUGGAAGGCCCCGUGCACUGCCAAGCACUCUGUCCAUGGCUGGCCUUGACAUGCAUUGGCACCUACCCGUCUUGUGGCAGACGAUUAACUGGGUGUGUCUAUGUGUGUGCACGCGUGCAUGCAGGCGCUGCCGGUGGAAGCAAAACUACAGGAGCCAGCGUGAAACCAGCUGUCUGGCGCUAGAGAUGGAGGCGGGCGCGGCGGCGCCAGUGGCAUAGUUUGGCAUGGUAGCUGUGGUGGUGGCGGGCAUCAAGGUGGUGGGUCAGAGACGUUGUGCCCAGCAGACAUGCAAGUGGUUGCUGCCAGUGGCUAGUUGCACGUUCACACGCAGACAUGACUAGGCGUAUUGUUGCAUGUACGUAUGGACUUGCGGUAGUGUUGCAUAAGUGUUGCAUGAGCAUCUGCACUUGUCGUGCUAUCAAGCCUUGACAGAUGGCUAGCAUGUGGAUUAGCGGUAGGACUACAUAGUUUUCACGUUAGUACUGAGGUAGGCCUUCAGCAAAGCACAAGGCUGCCAUGUAACGGGCGUCAAAGUGAUGGUUACUGGUGUGCCUUGUAGACCGUGACAAGGCUGUUACCAUGGCUGGUUAAGAUGGUAAGCAGAUCGUAGCGAACACAGGCAAAGAUGUGGUUGGUGAUGCCCUGGCCUGCGGGGGCCUGGGGCUCCCCCUUGGGGCCCACCGAUUUGGCGCACUGCUCUGAGACCACAUAAGCACACGCCAGGUUAGAGGGGUCCGAGGUGGUGGGAUAGCCGCCCGCCUGCAGCACCAAAUCGGUGCGACCGCGGAAAGCCCCCCACACAGGGCCCCCUACCAUCUUGACCGUGACGGUGUAGGUGCCCGGAAUGAUGGGCCGGGUGUCCACCGGCACGUGAACCGUGAGGACAGCCUGACCGCGCUGGAGCGGCACCGCCAGCGGCGACUUGCGCAUGAGCUCCGCUGUGAAGGCUGCUUUGCUGGCGCUGGUUGCGCGCUGGCUGAAGGCCAG
rnacentral:lncRNA from 1 species